CAAAAAUGUGCCGAGUCUUGAUUCUAGUAAGGAUGUCUGAAGUCCACGAAGAAUAGCUUGGGACGUGGCGAACGAACCAACAUUAAUGAAGGGAGAAAGAUGAUAUAAAAUAUUCCCUACUAUACGUUGUGAAUUCCCUAGCUGAGAAAUGUGCUGAUGUACGCGUAGAGGAAUUAUGAGUCAGACAACAGUUGUUUGCAAGAUCAUUGUGUUAUGAGAAACUUGUGACAAUCCUGAAGAGUUCACGAGACUACCACCAACAGUAUGUGAAGAAAAAAAAAAAGAAAAAAAAUAAGAGUAACGUAUUUUUUUGGCUCCCAUAUUUGAAAAGAAGAAACGAGCCACGCAGUCCGAAGAAGCAGACGGGCUACCCACAGAUUCAAACAAAAAGGAGCAGAAGAUUACAAAAGUGGUGUCCCUGUCCUAAGUACUAGCGCCGCAGGAGUGUGGUUUAAAUGUCACCCCUGCAGCCUUGGUGCUUAACACAGGACAUUCUAAGAACUACUAGAUACAUCUGGAUCUCAAGAAAUGGUUCACAAUAACCUGUUAUCAUGUGGAAAUCUUUAUACACUUAAUAUAUAAAAGAUGAAUAUAAUAGAAAAAUUACCAUAUUUAUUAUAAAAAUGUUAAAUAUAAAUAUUGAGUGUAUACCAAUUAAUAUUCAUUUGUUUGAAAUUCUAAUUCUUGGAUUAAUA